rnacentral:lncRNA from 1 species
GGGAAUAAUAUGAGUGUGUACAUGGAGCCUCUGAUUGAUGAUUUGGUCCGUGUAUGGGAGGAAGGGGUAUGGACAUACGACUGUGCUACAAGGACAAACGGAAGGGGUAUGGACAUACGACCGUGCUACAAGGACAAACUUCAAGAUGCAUGUUUGGUACCACUACUCCCUGCAUGACUUGCCGGCAUAUGGUAUUUUCUGUGGCUGGUGUGUUCACAGGAAGUUCCCAUGCCCAGUAUGCAAGGCUUCUUUGAAGUUCAUUUGGUUGACGAAGGGUGACAAGUAUUCUUCGUUCGACAAAUAUCGAAAAUUCCUUCCUCCUGACCAUCCUUUCAGACGAGAUAUUAAAAACUUUACGAAAGAUGUCGUAGUUAACGACCCCCCCAC